rnacentral:lncRNA from 1 species
AACGAUUGGAACACUCGGGAAUGACCUUUCUCAUUUCACCGAUUUUUAGACUCCCAAAACAGAUGCCGGUAUAUGCGGUAAGUAUAGAAAUAGAAAAAACUUCCCAGUAAUCUCUGUGGAUGUGGAGCGGAGUUUUUGACCAUAAGUGAUAAUUGCUUCGGUUACUGGCAGCGUACAAGCUAUGAAUAAAGCCUACUAGCCAGAGAUGGAAAAUUGGCUUAAAUAACUUUGCCCAACUUUUAACUACGCAUCUAUGGUGGAUUUUAAUUAAGUUCAAUGGCCAGAAAUGAAAAGCGGCGGAUAAAUUCGUUUAAACUAACGGUGGGCUAAGUCUCUGUUUGAAAUUAAAGCCACGAUUACCAUUGGUAGAGACUGCCAGAUUUACAUAACCCGAAUAUCGGAUUAUUCGUUGGUCCGGAUAACGUAUCUACUCCAGUAUACAUUCCUUCAUCUUCGAACACCAAGCUUCGCAGUUGGGAAAUACCGGCCGACCUAGAUGGUUAAGCCUAGAAUACACAGAGACUUUUCUGCGCAGAAUAGCAGCCAGGCGAGAAAUAGAAAAUUGACAUUAGUGCGGCUCAACUUUCUCAUUUCGCUGGAGGUUUCUCCUAACUACGAUCCAUGGUAGCAUUUUUUACCAUAUGACAUACCGGUUUAAAACAUGGCGGAAAAUAAGCGACGACUGUCUGCCGUCAGUACUCCCUAUCUCUGUGACAAAAAGAACGAAGAUUAUAAGGAUAGAGUUUUCGAAGCAAGCGGUCUAUAUGGAAAGCUGUCGGCAUAACAAGCGAUAAAUAUUGAGAGAUUAUAUUAUAUUCAUAAAAUUAUAUAAAUAAUAAUUUCGUUUUAAAAUGAAACAUAUAAAUAUUUUCUAAAAACGAUUAUCAAUUUGCUAAAUAUAAGAAAGAUAAGAUGCGGAUUUUCGUUUCUUAACUGCAUCUGUAUGUGCCGCCACUAUAUUUUGCAGGAACAGAACCAAAGCAGAACGAUACUUUUCUGUCUUCCUUUGUUCUGCGCAGGAAAGUUUCGGUGUGUUUUAGACUUUAAAACUCGACUUACUGCGAAAUUAUAAAUCGCGCCAGUGUACCGGAUGAUAAGAGAAUUGGAGACGUCAGCUGUCGACGCUAUCUUUCUUCCUCCAGGCAGUUGGGAUUUCUUCCUACCAGGUAGAACUUUUCAACAUUUUUCCUACGUAUUAAUCGUACCGCGUAAUUUUCUGCCGAGAAUUCGCCAUAAAUAAUAAUAAUUGGCGUCGGAAACUAAGUGUUGUAGCCGACGUUGUAAUGCACAAAAUUGCGGAGUUUCGUUUUCUCUAGGUACGUUAUUACCGUCUAAUCUAGAUUUUCCACCUCGUGGGACAUUGGAGGAGUUAUCGACUACAGAACUUCAAAAAUUUACAAAUAACUAGCCGGCCCGGUGUGACGGUCAAAAAAAAUUCGGCCGAAUGAAGAUCGACAAUCCGUUGGCAUCCCGUUAUAAGCGCUGUACUCCGUAACAUGGAUAGUCCGCUCGAUACUGGCCACUAAAGUGGUGGUAUAACAGUACAUAUUGGGAUGUUACACCUUUUUUUAAUUAUUUGGAUCGUAUUCACUAACAUACGAAAUACGUCUGGCCAUCAAAACAGUCAGUUGGCUAUAGCGUCGAUUUUACUGCGUGAGUUUACGCCACCAGCCGAACUGCUUCAGUCGCUAGUGUGGAACAGAUUAUCCAUGUCCCGGACUGUACUUACCAGUUAGUAUAAGCAACCAUGUUACCAUGUUUUCGGUACCCUGUUGAAUUGAUGCCACAUAAUUCUAAUAGCUAUGAUGACCGAGAGGAGUUUUUGACUGUGUGGUCAUAGUGACGUGGUGGUAAAUCGCCGUACGAUGGCGCCGAGAACAGUACUCUUACGUUUUACGUUCGUCCACGAUUCAGUUAAAGUAUUUACCGGUAUCAUCACCCGCGACUAAAAAUAAUUUGAUGAUGGCAGAUAAUUUUCUUUACAGAAAAAAGAUGGAGGUUACGCUUGGAUGGGAUUAGAUUUCAAUACAAAAAUUUGAUCUGAUGUGGGAAUGCUUCGACUUUCCACUCUAGAGCCGGUUGGAGUAUCGUCUCCCGUCCUUUGGAAAUAUGAUGGAGUGGUGCUUUACCAUCCGGCCGAUUCCUCCGUCGGGACGGGCCACCCGUGGCAGGACGGUUAUAGUUGCGUCAGUAAACUCAUCGAUGGGAAAAUGGCCGCUCUGUUAGACAAAAAAGGUCGAUCUAAUCUUGAAUGAGAUAUUAAGAAUUAUUAGCUGUUUAAGCGAAGUAACGAGGCAUAGCCCAAUCCUAAAUCCAUAAUUUGAUAUGUAUAUGGAUUUCGGACCAGUCACUUGGCUGUUAAAGACGAGUCGGACGCUAAAUGAUGAGGCAUCUGGAUUUGAAAUGUCGAAAGGAAUCCGGUAUAUUAUUGGUGGUGCCAGAGGAAAAGAUGGAUGGGUGCCAAAUGCCGCGCUAUUUUUAAUUCUAAAAAUAGCCGACGAUAGUAAAGCGAAGGCUAGCAAUUUUUAAAAACGAUUGGGUUCCUGGCUAAAACCCGAACUAUCGGAGAUAGAUGGCCGACCAACAGUCAAAAUUAAAGGAAGUGAGAAUAAACGCUACAUCGAUGAUGGAGUUUUAGAUCAAGUAAUGGUAAUAAGGGACAAAAUCUAAAAUUUUUUAUUUUCAAGAUAACAUAUGUAUUUAGGUACAAAUAAAAAGAUUUAAUAGGGUACCAAGAAAACAAUUCGAUUUAUAAACGUAUAAAUAAAUGUAUUAAAAGCAACAAUGUAAAUACAGUGGUUUACCCCACCAGCCGGGUGGUAAAGUCGACGAUAGAACAAAUUGAUUUUCUUUUGGCGGCCCACUUACGCUAGC